UUUCUCCGUGGGCCGCGCGAGUUUCGUUUUCUCGUGCCGGCGACGAGUUGGAAGAGUCGCGCUACGCUAAGAUCGUAGAACCGACCUAGUACCACGUCCCUUUAGCGUUUUAAAGCGAUGCGACUUUGGCAAAUAGGCCUUUUCGGCGCGCGCGCGGAUCUACCCCCCCUAAUUUUCGCGAUCGAAUUUUCACCUCGGCGCCGCGCGAGUUUCGUUUUCUCGUGCCGGCGACGAGUUGGAAGAGUCGCUCCACCCUCAGAACGGAGAACCGACCUAGUGCCACGUCCCUUUAGCGUUUUAAACCGAUUCGACGUCGGCAAAGGUGCCGUUUCGGGGCGCGCGCGGAUCUACCCCCCUCAUUUUCGUGUUUAAAUUUGCCCGAGGCGCGCGCGAGUUUAAUUUUCUCGUACGGGAGGCGACGAGGGCGAGUCUCGCGACGCUCAGGUCGCAGAACCGACCCAGUACCACGUUCCUUUAGCGUCUUAAAGCGAUUCGACAUCGGCAAAAUGGCCUUUUCGGCGCGCGCGCGGGUCUACCCCCCCAAAUUUUCGCGAUCGAAUUUUUACCACGGCGUCGCGCGAGUUAUUAGCUCGCGUUGAUUACGUCCCUGCCCUUUGUACACACCGCCCGUCGCUACUACCGAUUGAAUGGUUUAGUGAGGUCCUCCGAUUGGACCCGGUCCGGGCGGCGACGUCCGAGCCGGCGUCCGAGAAGACGAUCUAACUUGAUCAUUUAGAGGAAGUAAAAGUCGUAACAAGGUUUCCGUAGGUGAACCUGCGGAAGGAUCAUUA
rnacentral:ncRNA from 1 species